GAUGAACGCUGGCGGCGUGCCUAAUACACGCAAGUCGAGCGAACAGACGAGGAGCUUACUCCUCUGACGUUAGCGGCGGACGGGUGAGUAACACGUGGAUAACCUACCUAUAAGACUGGGAUAACUUCGGGAAACCGGAGCUAAUACCGGAUAACAUGUUGAACCGCAUGGUUCAACAGUGAAGGACGGUCUUGCUGUCACUUAUAGAUGGAUCCGCGUCGCAUUAGCUAGUUGGUAAGGUAACGGCUUACCAAGGCAACGAUGCGUAGCCGACCUGAGAGGGUGAUCGGCCACACUGGAACUGAGACACGGUCCAGACUCCUACGGGAGGCAGCAGUAGGGAAUCUUCCGCAAUGGGCGAAAGCCUGACGGAGCAACGCCGCGUGAGUGAAGAAGGUCUUCGGAUCGUAAAACUCUGUUAUUAGGGAAGAACAAAUGUGUAAGUAACUAUGCACGUCUUGACGGUACCUAAUCAGAAAGCCACGGCUAACUACGUG
rnacentral:rRNA from 1 species